UAAUACGAACUGUGCGAACGUUAUUCGGAAUCACUGGGCUUAAAGGGUGCGUAGGCGGCGACUCAAGUCAGGUGUGAAAUCCCCCGGCUCAACCGGGGAACAGCGCUUGAAACUGGGUUGCUCGAGUGAGGCAGGGGUGUAUGGAACUUCCGGUGGAGCGGUGAAAUGUGUAGAUAUCGGAAGGAACGCCGGCGGCGAAAGCGGUACACUGGGCCUUGUCUGACGCUGAGGCACGAAAGCUAGGGGAGUGAACGGGAUUAGAUACCCCGGUAAUCCUAGCCGUAAACACUGAGCACUGGAGGGGAGGGGCCUUGCGCCUUUUCCCUCGCAGCGAAAGCGUUAAGUGCUCCGCCUGGGGAGUAUGGUCGCAAGGCUG
rnacentral:rRNA from 1 species